AUCUGGAAGCUUCUGCGCCAUUUCAGUUGGUCUCGGGCGCCAUAACAAGCCUGUCGACCUGGCGGCGGCUGUUGACUGUGGAGCGAUUUUAACGCGGUUUGUUGUUCGGGGGAUAUCUGUGUGAUUUAUUUAUUUAUUUUAUAAAAUAAAACGCUUCUGACGACAUAUUUGAGAGAAAACCGAGCGAGCUUUAUUACCAGCCUCGGCUUUUUGUGGAGAUUUCAGAGCAUAUUUUUGUUCUUUCGGCACCUUCCCUUCGUUUCUUUCUUCCGGUCAUGGCGGUUACCAACGAAGGUGGGCUCUCCCCUCAGGCACCACCACAAAGCCAGGGUCCAUCCACCUGGUACCAGAAUCCACAGCAGAACCAUGGAAGUCCUGAGCAGAAUGGGAGUUUUUCAGCACCUAUUGGAACGGGAACUGGGCAACAGAAAGCAGAAGGCACAAGUUUGAAAAAUACCGAAAAGCAGAGAUCUAGCAAGAAGACAGAUGAGAUGACAGUCUUUAUGGAUGACUUGAGUUUGAGUUCACCAAAAGAAAGGUCUCGUUCAAGAUCAAGGAGCAGCUGUAGCAGAAGAUCUUCUUCAAGAUCAUCUAGCAGGUCAUCUUACUCCACAAGAUCAAGUUCGAGCACUUCCGCUUCCUCCAGAAGCUGGAGUAGGUCAAGAAGCAGAUCAAGGUUACGUGCUAAAAGGAAUUGUUCUUGGAGGUGCAGAAGGUACUCAAGAUCUUAUUCCAGAAGCCGGUCAAGAUCACGUAGCUACAAAUACAGAGAAAGAUACCAUCCUAGAUACCAUAGGCGAUACCGUCGCUCUCCUCCAAGAUACAGAUCACGGAGUAGGUCUCCUGGAAGACCAUGCUAUAGAAGAUCUUACUCUAGAAGCAGGUCAAGAAGCCGAAGAUACUAUGGAUUUGGAAGAACCAUAUAUCCUGAGGCUUAUAGAAGCUGGAGAAGCCGUUCUCGAUCAAGAUCUCGCAGUAGAACCCCUCUUCGCUUGACUGAAAAAGAAAAAAGAGAGCUACUGGAAAUCGCAAAGGCCAAUGCAGCAAAAACUUUGGGGACAGACAAUGUGGUCCUGCCAGCCAGCUUGAAAAUUGGUACAAUAUCAAAAGAAAGUGAAAGCCAAAUGAGGAGAGUGUAAAGACUGUGAAAUCAUGAAUAUGGUCUCCAGCACUGAUGAAGAAAAUCUGGUGAAUGCAUUGUGGCAGGGUCAUUGGCCCUAAAACCAGCAACCUUUUAAAGAAGCCACACUGUCCCCAGGAAAAGACAAGAAAAAAGAGACCCCAUCUGGUCAAUGGAUUCCUGUUGGGAAUGAGGAUCCUCUAGAGCAUGCCAGUACCCAUGUUCUGUUUGAGCUGUUGAGGCAUUAUGGGGUUUGAAAUCCUCUCAAAAUUCAGGGUUUAAAUACAGAAUGCUUAAAACUCUAUUAAUUUGAGAUUUGGUUUAUUUUCCAGAUAUACUAUGGGAGUUAUAUAGAGGUCCAGAAAUUACAGGUUGGAAUCUUAUAUUUCUGUAAAUAACUUUUCAUGUGGCUGUAAUAAAUUACAGGUGGGUAACUUUUCUCCUUGUGAGUCAUGUAGCAACUUCUAGUGUUUAAUGUGAAUGUAGCUUAAUUACUGUACUACAUACAAAAUUAUUUUUUCUACACUUUUAAUACUUUUCAAGUCAACACUUGUAAAAAGUGUGAUUUAUGGCUCCUGGUGGUAAUUCAGUUGGCUUCUGUAGCUUCCCAAAUUCCUAUUUAACCUGAACACCACCAUAUUUUGCAAGUAGCAGAAGGAUAAGCAAAGAAAAUUCUACUUGUGCUCUUGAAGUGACAAAAGGUUGAAUUUUCGGUUGCACAAGGUUAAAAUAUUUUUUCCCCUGCUGUCUUGUUAUGGAACCAGCGUAAUUGCUCUCAUGCUGCACUUUUAGUUAGAAGUAAAACAUUUGCAAUGUCAGCUAUGACCUUCUGAGCUUGUGCAUGUUCCAAGUACAACUGCUAAUUGGUAAAAGCCUAGUGCUAGAUACAUAAAUUCAGGGUUUUUUUGUAGUUUGCCCCAAAGGCUUAUAAUGUUGUAAUGCGAAUUUAAGUAGACAGCCUUUCAAGCAGAAAGGGCAGGUUGGGGCAAAGUUGAUGUCAAAUGAACGUAGGUAUUAGGUAAUCCCUAUAUUUAUGGAUGUGUUGCUAUUGUUAAAUGUGAUUAGUUUGUAUGACAUUUAAGGAGAAAGCUAGAUUUUGUGACUUGACUUAAAAGCUAGAGAUAAGAUCACUUGCACAAGCAGCACCUUUCAUUUAAUAUGCAUAAAACUGGACUACAUGUAUAAAAUAAAAACUUUUAAAUAAACCUAUCCUGAAUAUUG